AGGUUUGGGAGAAACAGACUUCAAUUUCCUCCAUUCAAUCGAUCCUUAGCUGUGGAUUUGUCAUCUACGACCUUUGUUGUUUUGAGAUGGAGACUCACUCUUGCCAUGUGGGCUGCACUUCAGCAUGAUCUUGGCUAACUGCAACCUCUGCCUCCUGGGUUCCAGUGAUUCUCCUGCCUCAGACUCCUGAGUAGCUGGGAUUACAGGUGCCUGCUACCAUGCCCAGGUUGUCUGCAAGCUAAGGAACAAGGAGAGUCAUUCUGAGUCCCAAAACUGAAGAACUUGGAGUCUGAUGUUCGAGGGCCGGAAGCAGCCAUCAUGGGAGAAAAAUGUAGACUGAGAAGGUACUAAAUGAACAUACCUCAAAAUUAUAAGAGACAUACAUGACAGAACCGCAGCCAAUAUCAUCGAAUGGGUAAAAGCUGGAAGCAUUUCUCUUGGAAACUGGCACAAGAAAAGGAUGCCCUCUCUCACCACUGCUAUUCAACAUAGUACUGAAAGUCCUGGGCAGGGAAAUCAGAUAAUGUAGGUUGGGAACAGUGGCAUGCACCUCCCAGCUACUCAGAAGGCUGAGGCAAGAGGAUUGCUACAGCCCAGGAGUUUGAGACCAGCCUGGGCCACACAGCAAGACGCCAUCUCAUUUAACAGAAAAGUAAAUCCACAAAAGCAUACAUCAUAUAAUGUAACACUAGAAACAGGAUCUGCAACACAGUGAUAUGUCUAUUCUCCUUCCUGAUAUGUUGUUUAUUAUAUAAAAACCAUAAUGAGAUGUUUUGGGCCUCAUGAUGCUUUAACAUUUAAUAAAGUAUGUUUUCAAUUGCACAAAGAGAUUUUGUGUGUAUGUCUGGGAAACACAGAUGAAACUUACGGAAAAUCCCUAGACCCUGAAGCUUUCACAUAACAUCUACUAUGCACAAUCCAGGUCUUUCCUUUGAAAUUUCAACUCUAUUGAAUUUGGUUCUUUGUCCCACAUUUUUGGGGCCUAUGGAAAAAUCAUUGUAAUU